rnacentral:rRNA from 1 species
GACGUAGGGCGCGAGCGUUGUCCGGAUUUAUUGGGCGUAAAGAGCUCGUAGGCGGCUUGUCGCGUCGACUGUGAAAUCUCAGGGCUCAACUCUGACAUUGCAGUCGAUACGGGCAGGCUAGAGUUCGGUAGGGGAGACUGGAAUUCCUGGUGUAGCGGUGAAAUGCGCAGAUAUCAAGAGGAACACCUGAGGUGAAGACGGGUUGCUGGGCUGACACUGACGCUGAGGCGCGAAAGCUAGGGUAGCAAACGGG